rnacentral:rRNA from 1 species
AACGAACGCUGGCGGCAUGCCUAACACAUGCAAGCCGAACGAGACCUUCGGGUCUAGUGGCGCACGGGUGCGUAACGCGUGGGAACCUGCCCUUAGGUUCGGAAUAACUCCCCGAAAGGGGUGCUAAUACCGGAUAAUGUCUUCGGACCAAAGAUUUAUCGCCUUUGGAUGGGCCCGCGUUGGAUUAGCUAGUUGGUAGGGUAAAAGCCUACCAAGGCGACGAUCCAUAGCUGGUCUGAGAGGAUGAUCAGCCACACUGGGACUGAGACACGGCCCAGACUCCUACGGGAGGCAGCAGUGGGGAAUAUUGGACAAUGGGCGAAAGCCUGAUCCAGCAAUGCCGCGUGAGUGAUGAAGGCCUUAGGGUUGUAAAGCUCUUUUACCCGGGAUGAUAAUGACAGUACCGGGAGAAUAAGCGCCGGCUAACUCCGUG